CUGUGGGUGCUGUUCAGGCGCCGCAGCCCGAGCCCACACCCCUCUUGUUACGCCGGGUCUGGGAGCUGAUGUUGUUGAAAAAUUACCUACCGAAAAACGAAUUGCUUUUUGGCCAGACCAGGUCCUCAUUCCAGCUGCCCACAUGAGCAUAGUUUGUGCUGGGGAGCUGCACCGAGGCAGGAGGAAGGAAGGUGCUGCGCUUUUGGUCCUGGAGCAAAAAGCCAUGAUUUAUAUGUAGCAUGCUGGUUCUUCCCCGAGGGUGAGGAGUCUUUUCCUAGACCUUGCAAGAUGAGAGGCUGACAAAAAGGUUUUCCUUCUUUCUACUCAUUUCAAUCUAUUGUUUGUUUUCUUAUUUUAUUCUGUUCAGUGAUUUAGAAUUAACCUUUGGAGAGGUACCAAGAG